rnacentral:rRNA from 1 species
AGGUGUGAUCAUACCAGCACUACUGCACAGGAUCCCAUCAGAACUCUGCAAUUAAGCGUGCUUGGGCAAGAGUAGUACUAGGAUAGGUGACCUCCUUGGAACUCCUCGUGUUGCACCCC